CAGCAGCCACGGGAAAACGAGGGGUGCAAGCGUUAUUCGGAUUGAUUGGGUGUAAAGGGUGUGCAGACGGCUUAUUAAGUCACUUGUUAAAUUCUUCGGCCUAACUGAAGGUCUGCAAGUGAUACUGAUGAGCUAGAGGGUGGAAGAGAGAAGUGGAAUUCUCGGAGUAGCGGUAAAAUGCGUAGAUCUCGAGAGGAACACCAAUGGCGAAGGCAGCUUCUUGGUCCAUUCCUGACGUUCAUACACGAAAGCGUGGGGAGCAAACAGGAUUAGAUACCCGCGUAGUCCCUGUCUCUUAUAC
rnacentral:rRNA from 1 species